rnacentral:rRNA from 1 species
AUUUGAAAGACAGUGGCGAACGGGUGCGUAACACGUGAACAAUCUACCUUCAAAUGGGGAAUAGCUCGCCGAAAGGCGGAUUAAUACCGCAUAUGGUUAUUUUUCGCAUGAAAAAUAUACCAAAGUCAGGGACCGCAAGGCCUGACGUUAGAAGAGGAGUUCGCGGCCUAUCAGCUAGUUGGCGAGGUAACGGCUCACCAAGGCUAAGACGGGUAGCU